rnacentral:rRNA from 1 species
UACGGAGGGUGCGAGCGUUGUCCGGAAUCACUGGGCGUAAAGGGCGCGUAGGUGGCGCGGGCAGUCAACGGUGAAAGUUCGGGGCUCAACCCUGAAUCGGCCGUCGAUACUCCCGUGCUUGAGCACUGUAGAGGCAGAUGGAAUUCCGGGUGUAGCGGUGGAAUGCGUAGAGAUCCGGAAGAACACCGGUGGCGAAGGCGGUCUGCUGGGCAUUAACUGACGCUGAGGAGCGAAAGCAUGGGGAGCGAACAGG